rnacentral:rRNA from 1 species
GACGAGCCACACGAACGUUAUUCGGAAUUACUGGGCUUAAAGGGUGCGUAGGCGGUGCGGAAAGUUGGGUGUGAAAUCCCUCGGCUCAACCGAGGAACUGCGCCCAAAACUACCGUACUUGAGGAAGAUAGAGGUGAGCGGAACUCACGGUGGAGCGGUGAAAUGCGUUGAUAUCGUGAGGAACACCCGUGGCGAAGGCGGGUCUCUGGACAGUUCCUGACGCUGAGGCACGAAGGUCAGGGGAGCAAACGGG